UUUGUGUUCCAGGAACCAUCUCUAGAAGCCUCUGCUCUGUUGCAUAGUAUCCCACUCCCAUGAUUGUGGUCUAACCCAGGGCCUCACAUGCCAGCACUGGAGAUAGAACCCAGGGCCUCCUCAUACAUACAAAGUCUUGUCCUGCUGAUGAACAACAGCCCCAGCCAGCCCCCUGAAGAACUGAAACUCUAUUCUUCUCAACUUUGAACUGGCUACAUAAACACCUUCAAAGGACUGUAUGUUCCUCGGUCUCUGGACUACUGUGUGAACAUAUAAAAUUCUUAUGUAUUUUACCUGUAUAAACAAAGAAGUUCUUUGCCAGGAAAUACCAUUGUCAAACACUGUGAGGCUUAAAAUAGAUAAUACAUAUAUAAUGUCUAGCAUAAAGGCACAUAGUAACAUAGUAGACAGUAAAUGUAAAAUGUACAAAAGUGUGUGUGUGUGUAUGUGUGUGUGUGUGUCUUAAGUGUUGUGCUGUAAUCUCAGAUAGUUCUUUCUUUUCUCAAAACAUACCAGGAUUCCCUAAAAUGGUAGUAAUGAUGAUUAUGACAUUGAUCUGAGUUUUUCAAAUGAGAAACUUUUGUUUAUUUUUCACUGAGAAAAUAGUUCCUUAUUGGCACAUCGGUGAUUUGUCAUUGUGUGAGCAUCACAGAAUGUACUUGCACAAACUAAAACUCCUUCCAUGUCGUUAGGUGAUAUACUCUUCUGGUACCAGUUUUGUACAAGCAGCCCAUCAUUGACUGAAAUGUAGUUUUGCAGCACAUGACUAUGUAAAUACUCGGAAAAGAAAUUUCUCUUUUUGUCAUUAAAUCCACAGCCCACCUUUAUCUGAAAUCUUAAAUUCUGAUUUCUCUAUUAUUACAGAAAAUGAAUUUUCUAAGUAUUUUUUUAUAAGGCCAGCUCUCCACUGGUACAACAAACCCCUUCUCUUGUCUACUCAAGUUCUUUUUCCUACAAUGAUCUCUUUUCUCUUUUACUGUAUCAUCAGUUCUCACCGAUGUACAGGAUUAUUCCCAAGAGCAGAAAAUAUUAUUUCUUACCUCCUAGAAGUUCCUUUCACUCUUUAUCUAUAUCAAGAUGCCACUGUAUUUUUUAUGGGUUAAAUUGUGUCCCCCGAGAAGAUAUGUUGAAGUUCUAAUGUAUAGUAACUCAGAAUGGGACCUGGUUUGAAAAUAGGAUCCUUGUAGAUGGAAUUAGUUAAGAUGAAGUCAUACUAGAGUAGGGUGGACCUUGAUCCAGUGUGACUGUUAUCAUAAAAAGAGAGCCAGGUGGAGACAUACAAAGACACACAGGGAGAACCAUGUGACAAUAAAUACAGAAAUUGGAAUAAUGCAGCUUCACACUAAGGAAUGCCAAAAAAAAAAAAAAAAA